rnacentral:rRNA from 1 species
GAUGAACGCUGGCGGCGUGCCUAAUACAUGCAAGUCGAGCGAACAGACGAGGAGCUUGCUCCUUUGACGUUAGCGGCGGACGGGUGAGUAACACGUGGAUAACCUACCUAUAAGUCUGGGAUAACUUCGGGAAACCGGAGCUAAUACCGGAUAACAUGUUGAACCGCAUGGUUCAACAGUGAAAGACGGUCUUGCUGUCACUUAUAGAUGGAUCCGCGCCGCAUUAGCUAGUUAGUAAGGUAACGGCUUACCAAGGCAACGAUGCGUAGCCGACCUGAGAGGGUGAUCGGCCCCACUGGAACUGAGACACGGUCCAGACUCCUACGGGAGGCAGCAGUAGGGAAUCUUCCGCAAUGGGCGAAAGCCUGACGGAGCAACGCCGCGUGAGUGAAGAAGGUCUUCGGAUCGUAAAACUCUGUUAUUAGGGAAGAACAAAUGUGUAAGUAACUAUGCACGUCUUGACGGUACCUAAUCAGAAAGCCACGGCUAACUACGUG